CUCUCAUUUGCAAAAACUCUAAGGAAAACCUAGUUUCCAACACUCAUCUCCGUCGAAACACCUAACAAACCAUCUCCGCCAAAAUCGAAGCCUCCUUCAUCCUCGUCGCUGGCCAAGCCACCCCUCACCGUCUACAGCGUUGAUUUAUCAGAACCACAUCGGAUCCAACUUCGCCCUCUUCGGUGUUUCAUCCUUGCCUUCCCCUGCCUCGUCUGACGCUGAAAGGGGGGAGAAAUCUCAAGCCUACACUUCUCUCCCUAAGGAUUGUCCUCUUUGGAGUAGAUCAGGCCGCCAUGCUCGACCUCUCAUCGGGGGUGGCUGGGAGGGUUUCCUCGUCUACCUCAAUGUCCUCUUCGUCUUCGUCGACGUUUUUGACUUCCAGUAGCAAUAUGUUUUAGUACAAGGUUGACGUGGCCCAACGAUCCCUUGCAGCAUAGUUUGAGGAUGGGCUUCUAGGGUUCUCGCAUUUACACCCUGGGGUGCCGAGGAAGGUGCCAAGAUCACCUUACAAGUUCUGGUUCUCAAAUUUGAAGAUGGCAUGGACAUCGGAGCAUAUAGUGAAGAAUCCAAAUGUUCUGUCAUUGAUCAUGGAGAAGAGGUCGAUGUCUAGG